AGGUGGGGGACAGGUGAGUACAACCAGUCUGGAGUGAAGAGAUCUAGGGAGAAGGUGGAGAUCAUGAGGGAGACGAAGGAGCUCUUGGAAGGAGGUAAGUAGGAGAUUGUGGGUAAGUAGAUCAUACGUUUUGUGUCCUUAAUCCAUAAGGGAGACCACCAGUUAUGGUGGCUAUGGCAGUUACGGAUGUAAUCCAGUCUAUCUCUUGAAUCUUCGUUUUGAUUGUCGGUUUUGUUUGGUUUGGGGUACAUAUGUGCAGUUAGGGGGUCACCCCUGUGGAGCAGGAUCAGAGACACUGGUGGCUGCACUGGCUGGUUCCCGGAUGAUAGGAGAUGGUAAAGUUGAAGCGUGUGAAGAAGAAAGCCCACCUGGCCUGCCUGUGAUUUAGCCAUUUAGCAUAAUGUAGGAACAGUAUUCAAGAUUCCGACUAUCAAUGAGCACUACAGACGGCUGGCAGGCGCCCUACAGUCAGUUUCUACAUUCCACCAGGAACAGCUUGAUGGCCAGAAGCUCCAUGUUUCAAAUGUCAUAAUUUUGCUCUGCCAGGUAUAGCGUUUUGGAGAAGAAGGCACAUGGAUGGAGUUGAGGAGGAGUUGUGACUUCAAUGAUGCAGUGGGAGUGUUAACAGGUGUGCUGAGGACCUUUCAGAGAGAAUUCACCAGCUCCAUGAAGGGAUCCACAUCUGCCGAUUUCAUACCGUUAUGGUCUGGUGUUCUGUUAUGGAAUACCACACUCGGAGACACGAUGGAAUGUUAACCCAACAGAGGGGGAGAGGACACACAGGAGGUGUUUCUCAAUGUCAAGGAAGGAUCCUCGGAAGCCAGUAUUUCGAGGAUGCUACGUCAUCGACAUCCGUCGAAGGACAGUUCCAAUGUCGAUGAUCGUCGGAAUUUCAACCAAGGACUGAGUCCUUCGUUCGAAGAAUAUCCCAUACACGGGAAAGGAUGCAUAUGUAAUUGGAGCGAUAAUGGUGAUUGCCAGGAGCUGGGGACAGGUGAGUAAAGCAGGUUUUGAGUGAGGAGAUCGAGGGAGACAGUGGAGAACACGAGGGAGACAAAGGAGAUAUUGGAAGGAGGUAAGUAUGAGAUUGCAGGUAAGUAGAGCAUACAUUUUAAGUCCUUAAUCCACAAAAGAGACCAGACAAUGAGGCAGUGAGGAGCUUAUAGUGCUGGCUGGGUGAUGAUUGAGUGGUGGAUGAGCCUGGAGGGGUCUAAACACAUGAAAUCAUAGCUGUAUAUGA